GCGCGGGUAGCUCAGUGGUAGAGCGUUCGAUUGCAGCUCGAAGGGUCACUGGUCAAUCCCGGUCCCGCGCU
rnacentral:tRNA from 1 species